rnacentral:rRNA from 1 species
AUUGAACGCUGGCGGCAGGCCUAACAAAUGCAAGUAGAGCGGAGCGGCGGACGGGAGAGUAAUGCUUAGGUAUCUGCCUGGAAGUGGGGGAUAACGUACGGAAAAGGGCGCUAAUACCGCAUAGGAACAGCUGAGCCUAUGUAGGAGUAGCUAGUUGGUGGGGUAAAGGCCUACAAAGGCGAAGAUCCGUAACUGGUCUGAGAGGAUGAUCAGUCACACUGGAACGGAGACACGGUCCAGACUCCUACGGGAGGCAGCAGUGGGGAAUAGUGGACAAUGGGCGAAAGCCUGAUCCAGCCAUGCCGCGUGUGUGAAGAAGGUCUUCGGGUUGUAAAGCACUUUAAGUUGGGAGGCGUUACCAACAGAAUAAGCACCGGCUAACUUCGUGCCAGCAGCCGCGGUAAUUC